rnacentral:rRNA from 1 species
AACGAACGCUGGCGGCAGGCCUAACACAUGCAAGUCGAACGGACCUUUCGGGGUUAGUGGCGGACGGGUGAGUAACACGUGGGAACGUGCCUUUAGGUUCGGAAUAGCUCCUGGAAACGGGUGGUAAUGCCGAAUGUGCCCUUAGGGAGAAAGAUUUAUCGCCUUUAGAGCGGCCCGCGUCUGAUUAGCUAGUUGGUGAGGUAAUGGCUCACCAAGGCUACGAUCAGUAGCUGGUCUGAGAGGAUGACCAGCCACAUUGGGACUGAGACACGGCCCAAACUCCUACGGGAGGCAGCAGUGGGAAAUCUUGCGCAAUGGGCGAAAGCCUGACGCAGCCAUGCCGCGUGGAUGAUGAAGGUCUUAGGAUUGUAAAAUCCUUUCACCGGUGAAGAUAAUGACUGUAGCCGGAGAAGAAGCCCCGGCUAACUUCGUGCCAGCCGCCGCGGUAA